rnacentral:tRNA from 1 species
AGCAGCGUGGCUUAGUGGUUAGAGCAUGGGCCUGGGAGCCAAAAGGCCUGGGUUCUAAUCCUGACUCUGCCU